rnacentral:lncRNA from 1 species
AGCCAUCAGUAUUCUUGAAGAAGCAGCAUAUCUUGAACUGUCCUAUGGGUGAAGGCUUUCAUGCGGUCCUGUAAAAACUGGGAAGAUUUGCAGAAUCAUCUAAAUACCCAUCCAACAGAGGUUCCAUGAUUCAUGUAUUUUUCAAGACAGCCAUACACUAAAAUUAUAAGAUCAUAAGAAUAUCAAUUAUAUUCUACCAACGCAAUACAAGCAUUUGAAAUGGAUGGCAUCUGAUCAUGCUUCAUGUGAUUCCUCAUUUAGCUCUGGACUCUUUACAUCAUUAAGGCUUUUUCUUUGCAGGAAUUUAAAAGCAACCUUAUGAAUAUAACAUUUGUCAAAAAGAGCAAGUGCCAAGCCAGUUGAGAAUAACUUUACAAUGUGUACAAGGAUUCCAGUUCUGCUGCUAUAUAAACCAGCCUCAAAUA